ACCAGGAAGCCCUUCAACGUUCCAAACAAGAACAACAAUCUCUGUUAGAAAGUCUGCAAAGUGCAGAACAGCUCAAUGAAGAAUGUGAGGAAAGUAGAAAAGCUAUUGCUACAGCAUUAGAAAGCAACAAAGAGGAGAAUGCAAAGGUCAUUGCCAAGAAAGACUCAAGCUUGGAAGAGCUCAACAAAAUAAAAGAUCAACAAGCAGACAAGCUUGUACAGAUUCAGGCCACAGCCCAGGAAUUUCAGACAUCAUUAACAGUUGAGAUACAGAGGGCAAAAGAACUUGAACUGAAGCUUACGGCAGUCACAGAGGAACUUCACAGGAAAAACCUUGAAUUAGGAGAGAUCAAAGAACAGAAAGAAAAGAAAGACAGACAGUUACAAAUCUCUUGAAGAUGAAUUGGAUGUCAAAAAUAAAUCCAUACAGUCACUAGAGGAAACKAUUAAAGUUGUGGAGACCAGAACAUCAGAACUCACCACAGAGCUUGAGGGGAAACAUGCUGAAAUUCACCACGUUAAGAAUAAAGUGGAAAACAUUUCUGUUGAAAACAUUUUACUGGAAAAGGCUCUUGGAAAUGCUGAAACGAUGCAAAACGACUUGAAAGAAAAAGCCAAUAUGACUGAGAGGAAAAUAAAAGAGAUUGAGGGGCAGUUAUCUGCUGCAAUGAGAAGAGAUGAAAAAUCCAUCAAGGAGAAAGAGAAUCUAAAGACAGACAUUGUACAGCAUGAGGUGAAGUAUAAGGAGCUAUUAGCAAGUUUCAAUCAGCUGCAGCUUGAGAAGAAGACUAUUCUGGAGCAGAUUCAGAAUGAAUCCUCAGAGGCAAACAUUCUGGUAGCACAACUUAAGGAGAGCGAGGCAAAAGAGAUGAAGAUGAAGAAGGAAAUUGAAAGACUCCAAGAAGAAAACCACCAAUUACG